AAAUUGAAGAGUUUGAUCAUGGCUCAGAUUGAACGCUGGCGGCAGGCCUAACACAUGCAAGUCGAACGGUAACAGGAAGCAGCUUGCUGCUUUGCUGACGAGUGGCGGACGGGUGAGUAAUGUCUGGGAAACUGCCUGAUGGAGGGGGAUAACUACUGGAAACGGUAGCUAAUACCGCAUAAUGUCGCAAGACCAAAGAGGGGGACCUUCGGGCCUCUUGCCAUCGGAUGUGGAUUAGCUUGUAGGUGGGGUAACGGCUCACCUAGGCGACGAUCCCUAGCUGGUCUGAGAGGAUGACCAGACUGAGACACGGUCCAGACUCCUACGGGAGGCAGCAGUGGGGAAUAUUGCACAAUGGGCGCAAGCCUGAUCGCGUGUAUGAAGAAGGCCUUCGGGUUGUAAAGUACUUUCAGCGGGGAGGAAGGGAGUAAAGUUAAUACCGACGUUACCCGCAGAAGAAGCACCGGCUAACUCCGUGCCAGCAGCCGCGGUAAUACGGAGGGUGCAAGCGUUACUGGGCGUAAAGCGCACGCAGGCGGUUUGUUAAGUCAGAUGUGAAAUCCCCGGGCUCAACCUGGGAACUACUGGCAAGCUUGAGUCUCGUAGAGGGGGGUAGAAUUCCAGGUGUAGCGGUGAAAUGCGUAGAGAUCUGGGUGGCGAAGGCGGCCCCCUGGACGAAGACUGACGCUCAGGUGCGAAAGCGUGGGGAGCAAACAGGAUUUAGUCCACGCCGUAAACGAUGUCGACUUGGAGGUUGUGCCCUUGAGGCGUGGCUUCCGGAGCUAACGCGUUGCCUGGGGAGUACGGCCGCAAGGUUAAAACUCAAAUGAAUUGACGGGGGCCCGCACAAGCGGUGGAGCAUUCGAUGCAACGCGAAGAACCUUACCUGGUCUUGACAUCCACGGAAGUUUUCAGAGAUGAGAAUGUGCCUUCGAGACAGGUGCUGCAUGGCUGUCGUCAGCUCGUGUUGUGAAAUGUUGGGUUAAGUCCCGCAACGAGCGCAAUUUGUUGCCAGCGGUCCGGCCGGGAACUCAAAGGAGACUGCCAGUGAUAAACUGGAGGAAGGUGGGGAUGAUCAUGGCCCUUACGACCAGGGCUACACACGUGCUACAAUGGCGCAUACAAAGAGAAGCGACCUCGCGAGAGCAAGCGGACCUCAUAAAGUGCGUCGUAGUCCGGAUUGGAGUCUGCAACUCGACUCCAUGAAGUCGGAAUCGCUAGUAAUCGAAUGCCACGGUGAAUACGUUCCCGGGCCUUGUACACACCGCCCGUCACACCAUGGGAGUGGGUUGCAAAAGAAGUAGGUAGCUUAACCUUCGGGAGGGCGCUUACCACUUUGUGAUUCAUGACUGGGGUGAAGUCGUAACAAGGUAACCGUAGGGGAAC
rnacentral:rRNA from 1 species